rnacentral:rRNA from 1 species
GACGAACGCUGGCGGCGUGCCUAACACAUGCAAGUCGAACGGAGAUAGGGGGCUUGCUCCUUAUUUUAGUGGCGCACGGGUGAGUAACGCGUAGAUAAUCUGCCUGAUGAUCUGGGAUAACAGUUCGAAAGGACUGCUAAUACCGGAUAAGCCCACGGGGUCUUUGGACUCUGCGGGAAAAGGGGGGGACCUUCGGGCCUUCUGUCAUCAGAUGAGUCUGCGUACCAUUAGCUAGUUGGUAGGGUAAUGGCCUACCAAGGCUACGAUGGUUAGCUGGUCUGAGAGGAUGAGCAGCCACACUGGAACUGAGACACGGUACAGACUCCUACGGGAGGCAGCAGUGGGGAAUUUUGCGCAAUGGGCGAAAGCCUGACGCAGCAACGCCGCGUGAGUGAUGAAGGCUUUCGGGUCGUAAAGCUCUGUCAGAGGGAAAGAAGUGUAUUGUGGCUAAUAUCCACGAUACUUGACGGUACCCUCAAAGGAAGCACCGGCUAACUCCGUGCCAGCAGCCGCCGUAAUAC